rfam:Pseudomassariella vexata strain CBS 129021 BCR38scaffold_2, whole genome shotgun sequence.
GACCUAGUGGCGAAAUGGCAUCGCGUUACAUUUCGGUUCUGUUCUAGGCCUGUAAAGAUUCAGGGUUCGAGUCCUUGCUGGGUCG